rnacentral:tRNA from 1 species
GCACCGGUGGCGGAAUUGGUAGACGCGCUAGCUUGAGGGGCUAGUGACCGUUUUAGGUCGUGGAAGUUCGAGUCUUCUUCGGUGCACCA